rnacentral:sRNA from 1 species
AUUGGAUAUUGGACAUUAUGUUGUUAAGUGUUUAGAUUUUGUUUUGUUCCUUUAAAAAGUGUUGGACUUUUUUUUAAACAGGCUCCUGUAUCACCUGCAAAUUAUUUUGGUCCAUUAAACCUUGUUAUUAAGCUUUAAAGGAUAGGCCAAAAAGAGUCUUUAUUCUGGCUUUUAUUCAGCCAUACAACUAAGGCAUUAGCCCUUUGGAACCUCCAUCAGUCUCUGCAAAACCAUUUGAAAAUGGACAAUAUUUGGACAUUUAUGGAAUUACAAGGGACCAGGCUGGGGAAUAUGAAUGCAGUGCGGAAAAUGAUGUGUCAUUCCCAGAUGUGAGGAAAGUAAAAGUUAUUGUCAACUGUAAGUGUCACCACCUUUUAUCAAGAUAAGUUCUGAGAAAAGAUAAAACACCUUGAAAAAUUCUGACUGAAA